GACGAACGCUGGCGGCGUGCCUAAUACAUGCAAGUUGAGCGAUGAAGAUUGGUGCUUGCACCAAUUUGAAGAGCAGCGAACGGGUGAGUAACGCGUGGGGAAUCUGCCUUUGAGCGGGGGACAACAUUUGGAAACGAAUGCUAAUACCGCAUAACAACUUUAAACAUAAGUUUUAAGUUUGAAAGGUGCAAUUGCAUCACUCAAAGAUGAUCCCGCGUUGUAUUAGCUAGUUGGUGAGGUAAAGGCUCACCAAGGCGAUGAUACAUAGCCGACCUGAGAGGGUGAUCGGCCACAUUGGGACUGAGACACGGCCCAAACUCCUACGGGAGGCAGCAGUAGGGAAUCUUCGGCAAUGGACGAAAGUCUGACCGAGCAACGCCGCGUGAGUGAAGAAGGUUUUCGGAUCGUAAAACUCUGUCGGUAGAGAAGAACGUUGGUGAGAGUGGAAAGCUCAUCAAGUGACGGUAACUACCCAGAAAGGGACGGCUAACUACGUG
rnacentral:rRNA from 1 species